GCACUGUCGGCUCUCAAAUCUGCAAGUGAUCAAUGGUUGGUGUUUCGCAUCGUCUUGAGGAAGGACGUCACCUGGAAGCCAUCAUAGCCGUGAAGGAAUUCACUGAGUCGUGAUUAUUCAGUGACGGCUUUGGCAGGACUGCAGGGCCUCGUUGAAGAUGGUUCAGUGACGGCUUUGGCAAGAUUGCGGCGGUCUCGUUGAAGGUGCCUGGCUUUGGAAGAGGCUGUCAUGAAGAAAUUCACUGAGUCAUGAUGAUUCAGUGAUGGCUUUGGCAUGAUUGCGGUGGUCUCGUUGAAGGUGCCUGGCUUUGGAAGAGGCUGCCAUCUUAACAACCACGCUCUUCGUCCAGCCAUUAGGACGAGCUGCUUCUGAGAAGUCAACCUCUAACCGGACCGGAGUACGAGGUCAUCGGGAUGACGUUGACUUUUUGCUGACCUCUUCAGUGUGGGCAACAGGACACCUGGGACUGCUGCAGGAUUGGUGUCGCUGGCUUACUCGUACGGUUUUGGAACCGCAGAGACUCUUAACUGCUGCAGAGUCCAUCUGGAUCUACUGCUUGGGGCUUUAUGUUUCCGGCCAUUACGUUGACGCCUUCAUACCAUUCGGCCAUCUCGUGCUACAGGAGACCUAAUUUUGGGGGUGACUGUAAAAAUCAUUUCAUGCUGUGGAUAUUUAUAUUUUGAAAGGGCUUUCAAUAAAGAAUUUGUGAUUAAUCAUGAAAAGGCA